UUCGGGUCGCAUCCCUCCCAUCGUCAUUUCGUACUUGGGCACUUAUAGCCGGAGCAACGAUUUACGGAACCUUGGGAUCGGGAGAAUCAGGUUUUUGCUAGUACUAGUGCAAGAAACAUAGCCUAGAAGUUAAAUGUGAUGGGAACAUUAAUCGUUUGGAAAGAACAGAAAUGUGACUAUUAAAAAUAGAAGGAGUUACCAAAUUGCUGAAUAAUAAAAGCCAAAGAUUUACUUCCCAAAUGUUCAGGGGUUCUGUUCAUGCUAUUGUUAUUGUGUGCAUUUGAGAACGUCGAGAGUAUAGUGCCGUCUAAUAUUCCCCUGGCUAGGAAUGGUCUGAUCAGAAAUGAACUGAUUAAAAUCUAUUUUGCCGAAGGACGAAAGUAUUCGGAAAUAGUUGUUUUUAUUCUGUAAACACAACAUUAAAAUAAGCAAACGUCAUUUGAAACGAAUCAUGCGGGAAUUGUGUUUACGGAGACAUCCUCAGCCCUACUCAUCUGCAGAAGAUAUGAUGAAUGGAAUAAAGCGCGAGUGGAGUGUAAGAGGGCAGUGUUUAAGGUAUAGAACUAUGUGGAAAAGACUGAUAAGAGAGAAAUCAAGAGAAACGACGUCAUGAAAUUCAUGAAACAGCUUUGUCCAGAUGUAACAGAAGAACGAAAAGUACAUAGGUUGAAGAGAAAAGUGUAUACAUUGAAAGGACCUAAUUAUGUGUGGCAUGUAGAUGGAUACGAUAAAUUAAAGCUGUAUGGAUUCUGUAUUCAUGGAUGCAUUGACGAUUACAGUCGUAGUAUCAUGUGGCUUGAAGUUGCCAAGUUCUACAUGGACUAUUUUAAUCAUGUUCAGUGUGCUCCACGAAUUUUACGAGCAGAUAUGGGGACCAAAAACAGUUCCCUGAGCUUUUUGAGAUACGAUUCAAACGACUCUUUGGCUUGCACUAAAAGAUUUUACUUGUGCGGAAAAGUACAGCAAACCAUAUAGGAUAGAGCAUUUUGUGGGAUACUUCGUAAGCUCGGUAUUCACUGGUGGAUGAAUUUAUUCAAGGAUAAUAGGGAUUGCGGAAUAUUUUACAUCGAUAAACCAGUGAUAAAAGAAUGCUUAAGAUUUUGUUUAUGGACGCGUUGCAAACGGACUUAGACAGAACUGGACAGCACUGGAAUUCUCACAGUAUACGACCACAAAAUUCGAUGUGUUGUAUUUUGUCUCUGAACUGACUGAUGCCCAGUACUUUGGGACUAAAGUGAAAAGGGAGGAUGUGAAUGCGUGCAUCGGUCAUUUUUAUGCCCCCGCCAUAGGGAGCAUAUAGUGUUAUCCCUGUCCGUGUGUGUGUGUUCUUUUGUGUGUCUGUUUGUUUGUUUGUGUGUUUGGGAAAGGAUGGUGUUCUAAUCCGGAUCAUAACUUUGACAUGCAUGGUUCGAUUUCAUAAUAAUUUCACGCAAAUAAUAAGCAUGGAUAGACAAUGUGUCAGGCAAAAAAACCGUUUUACUAGCUCAAGGUCAAGGUCACAGUCCUUGGUUGAACUUAGCCAAUUUUCACUACAUAUAUACUGAUGAGGUGGUCUUUGUGUCCGGUGCAUAACUUUGACAUGCUUGAUCCGAUUUCAAAAUAAUCUAACAAAAAUAAUAAGCAUGGAUAGACAAUGUGUCAUGUUUAAAACCAAAUCCCUAGUUUUAAGGUCAAGGUCACACUUAGGGGCCAAAGUUCACAUACAAGAAAGACUUCGUCUUGAGCAUUUAUUCUUCAUCUUCAUGCAUGGAGGGAUUUUGAUGUAAGUUGGCUCAAUUGUACACCAUCACGAGACAGAAUAUCAUGCGCAAGAACCAGGUCCCUAGUUUAAAUUUACUUCCAUUGCUGUUACUAUAAAUAGCUUAUAUUGUAACUUUUAUUACUGGUCGUAGGGAAAAAUCAAGACCACUUUUCUUUAGUACAACAUGCAUGUUACAUCCAAUUUUGAGAUGUAUUUUGAUCUCUACCUGGUAAGGAUUUUUGUGUGGAUUAUUUUUAUAUUUUUUAAUUUUGUUUUUAAGAUUAACUUCCCUUAGUUGUUACUAUAAAUAACUUAUAUUGUAACUACUUUAUAAUUGACCGUAGGGAAAACCAAGACCACUUUUCUGUGGUACAACAUAGAUUUUACUUCAAAUUUUAGGUGUAUUGUAAUGUAUCUUUACCUGAUAAGGAGGUUUUUUUGUGGACUUAGAAUUUUAACAAAAGAAUUACAAUAAUUACUACACAACCACAGAAUUAAAAUUCCGUUUGCAAAUACAGGUGCUAGUGUAUAUUUGCUAUGACGGGCGUAUAUUGUGACAUGCUGACACUCUUGUUGUAAAUAAAUACGGUCAAGGGUCCUUCUUUUUGUUUGUGAGCAGUACCAUGCCUGUGACCUUUUUCAUCCGUGUCUGUGACACAUUUUUAGUUUUGAAUACGGAAGCAUUUUUGCAGUAGAGAAUUUAGAGACCUUGUAAAAACUAUAAAACCAAGUGUACAAUUCUAUGUUUAUCCAUUUGAUGCCUUAAAAAUUUUCACCGAGCUGAAUAGUCCUUUGGAAGAAUACAUAUAGGGAAAAUAAAAAUAAGUUGCAUAGCUAUAUUUGAACUGGAAUUCUUUUAAACCAAACUUAAUAUGUCCUUUAAGUGUCAUUUUAAUAUAUGUCACCCUCCUACACAUUUUAUUUGAACUGUGUUGUGGACUUAUUUGUUUGUUCAAUUAAAUCCAUGUUCCCUGACUAUAAAUGAAAUUGAUUGGAUUAACAUACUGAUACCUUCUAUAUUUUUAGCCUUUCCAGUGUUGUAACCAUGGACUUUUUAUAAGUACAUAUAAGUAAAAUGUAUAACAAUAACUUUACAUUACUAAUUCUGGGGUUUUAAACUUACAUAUACUUGAAACGAAACUUGAUAUGGUUUAGAUCAUGUUGUCGUGCGUGGCUGAUUGUGUUAUUUUCUCCCCGUGCUUACUAGAAUUAUUGUAUACAGAAAUAAAAAGUAGUCACCUUA